ensembl:lncRNA
AGGUGCAGUUAUGGAUGCUGACAGGGGAGGUUGGUCAGCCACGUCCCAAGAGAAGUAGCAAGCUAAAACAAGGGAGGGUGAGAGUGGAGGGAAGAAAAGCAAUGAAUGGUAAUUAAGCCCAGUGCCUGAGCUCUCUGAUGCCUGAGAAACGACGAGCAGUUGCACUACCACGGCCAUCCUGCUGUCCCCAGAGACCUUGAGGAGAAAGGCAAGAUUGGCAGUGAAAACUGCAUGGAUGAAAAGAGGAAGUUAACACACUUAAUCUCAUCCCAUCUUUUGGAUCUCAUUCCAUGCUGGCAUGACAGCGUGGACGCAACACUGAGAAGGAAGAUCUUUUGCCUUUCCAUUGUUUUCUCUGCUGUCAAAACCACAUGUCAGCCUGGCCCUGCAGUGGGUUGCACUUGGCCCUCAUUAUAUGAGCAGGGACUAUUGAUUCAGCUCAUAGACAGUAAUCAGUACUUUUCUAUCAAUAGCUUUGUCAUCGCCAUUAUCGAAAUCACACAUUUCUCCUUCCUGUUAUAAAACACUGUUAAGUUUUCACGUGUUCUAUGGAAUUUAAAAUUUGAAAAACAAAUACAAAUAAUAACAUCAGUUUCAGAGGUAACCCUGAUAAUGAAAUGGUCCUGAAAAUCAUCCACUGCAGAGAACUUUUAGAACUUCAUGGAAUCAUCGAAUCACAGAAUGGCCUGGGUUGAAAAGGACCAUAACGACCACCUAACAACACCAAGAUAUUAGAAUAAGAAGGAAUCAUACUGGUACAUUACUGUGGCUUUAAAAAUGCAUUUUGUAAAGGCUUGAAGAAACCCAAAUGACAUCAGGGUUAAUAAUUAUCAGCCUAAAUGGGUAUUUUUGUGCAAAUGAAAAUGAUUUCAUAUUUCAGCAGAUUCCCAGGUGGUGUAUUCUGUCAUAGCUGCAGUGCAGGACGAGGCAGCUCUAACAAUUACAUUAGCUGAUCCUCUACUCGCCUCUACCAGCUGAUGUCUUCCAGUCCCCAGCCUCUAAAGCGAGGUGAGGGGAAUAUAAUUACCUAAGUCAAUUCUGCAUAUGUAAUCCCUUCUGCAGAAUUAAGACGGAAACCUCAGGCAUUUGAAUAAUUCAAAAUUAAUCCUUGCAUUUUGUCCAGCAUUCUUAAUCAACUCCAUCAUUUUUGCUCCGAUCACAAUGUUAAAGUUAGGAUUUACUAUGCAUGCGCCAUGUACCGUUCAGAGGUUCUUAGUGAUCGGUGUGACUUUUAGCAUUCAGGAGGAAAAAAAAAAAAAAAAAAGGAAAUGCUUCAUCAUAAUGCUGUCGUUUGGAAACGUAUUGCUUUCUUUUGUUUUCUGUGUGUGUUGAUAGCCAAAAAAGGGACAUAAAAAGGGCACCUUAACUAAGCUGCUUCCUGUGUGUCUUUGAGUCAUAUUCUCCAGCUCCACUGACAAAAACAAGUUUUUACAACGGUUAGCACUGCGGCUCGAAGCACACAAGUUGCAGCCUAUCCUGGAUAGCAUUACAAGCAUUGUCAUCGGAGUUCCACUUAGCAAAGCACUGUCACCGUCGCCUGCGACGGCACGAGAACCAGGAAGACACAGUUGGAUUAUCAGAUUCAUGAGUUUUCAGAACCCUUAGAUAGGGAAAAAAUCACCUUCUGAUUGUGAAUGCAGCUUAAGCAGCACCUGAUAUUACACAGAAUAUUUAUGGGCAACAAAGAAAUAAGAAACCCAUGCAAUCUGUUGUUGUUUUUUUUUUUAAGUAUGGCGAAUUUCUAAGAAAAUGUAUACGCUUCACCUGUCUGAACAUGAGAAACAGAAUAUAGCAAGAAUUACAUG